AUGCUCCCCCAGUCACCAGCACACGAUGCCACAGAACGCAGAAGACAAUGGGCCAAGUCCACCUGCCCCAUGUGCCCACGGGGGUUGCUCAAGCAACAGAAGAGAUCCCAGGGAUACUGGGGAACCACAGGCUUCCAGGAGUCUCAAGUGAAGACGUACCCCUCAUUCUCCAUUCACACUUGUCUGACACCCCUCCUGUUCCCGGGUGUUCUGGGGAGAUCCCUCUGCUGCCGGGGACAGCCAUGUGAAGCAGCAGCUUCACAUCUCCUUGGCAUGGCCUGUUCAGCUCUGUGCCAGCUCCCAGUGCUCCCAGCCAGGGACACACGCCAGGCACACAAAGCACACAUGCCAGGCACAUACCUGCACAUUCUCACACACACGUGCAAUGCACACACAUGCAAACACUAUUACAGUGCACAGUGCAACACAGCCACACAGGGCUCACACUCACAUCCUCACACRCACACACCAUAUACUGCAUGCUCGCACAAGGGCACAGAGGCAUAUGCCCUCACACACACAAUGCGCAUGCAGGACUCUGUCCCCAGACCCUUCCCCCUGCCUGUGUUGCCCGGGGCCACUGGGUACCCCUCAGCUCUUCCACCCCAGUGUAACUCCAUGGGCUCCGCAGCCCUGAGCAGAGGGGCUCUGUCUCCAUCGGCCUUCAUUACAGGAAGGGUGUGCAAGAGCGGGCAUGGCAGGCCUACACUGUUUGUUCCAGGAAGGGGACAGCCUCUGUUCCUCCCUGGGCCAGGAAGGAAAGAGCAACUGCACUUGAGCUGGGAGUUAUCACAGACCAGCCCCUGGGCCACACCUUGUGGGAGGCUGAAGGGUACUGACCAGUGCUCCUACACAGGGAGUUGUGUGGGCGCCGGGCCUGGUUGGGAGGAGCAGGGGAGGAAAGAGAGGAGGGUGGCCUAUGAGAGGGCAGGAUCUGUGGGUGGGCAGGGCCUGUGGGAGGGUAGGACCUAUGAGAGGGCAGGAUCUAUAGAAGGGCGUUGCCUAUGA
rnacentral:lncRNA from 1 species